UACGUAGGGGGCAAGCGUUGUCCGGAGUUACUGGGCGUAAAGCGCACGCAGGCGGUCUCUUAAGUUUGGGGUGACAGUUGCCGACUUAAUCGGCAAAGUGCCUCAAAGACUGGCGGACUUGAGGGCCACAGAGGGACAUGGAACUCCAGGUGUAGUGGUGAAAUGCGUAGAUAUCUGGAAGAACACCAAAGGCGAAGGCAGUGUCCUGGGUGGUCGCUGACGCUGAGAGGCGAAAGCCAGGGGAGCGAACGGG
rnacentral:rRNA from 1 species